rnacentral:rRNA from 1 species
CUCUGGUGGAUUAGUGGCGAACGGGUGAGUAACACGUGAGCAACCUGCCCUGGACUCUGGGAUAAGCGCUGGAAACGGCGUCUAAUACUGGAUACGAGACGUGGCCGCAUGGUCAACGUUUGGAAAGAUUUUUCGGUCCGGGAUGGGCUCGCGGCCUAUCAGCUUGUUGGUGAGGUAAUGGCUCACCAAGGCGUCGACGGGUAGCCGGCCUGAGAGGGUGACCGGCCACACUGGGACUGAGACACGGCCCAGACUCCUACGGGAGGCAGCAGUGGGGAAUAUUGCACAAUGGGCGGAAGCCUGAUGCAGCAACGCCGCGUGAGGGAUGACGGCCUUCGGGUUGUAAACCUCUUUUAGCAGGGAAGAAGCGUGAGUGACGGUACCUGCAGAAAAAGCGCCGGCUAACUACGUGCCAGCAGCCGCGGUAAUACGUAGGGCGCAAGCGUUAUCCGGAAUUAUUGGGCGUAAAGAGCUCGUAGGCGGUUUGUCGCGUCUGCUGUGAAAUCCCGAGGCUCAACCUCGGGCCUGCAGUGGGUACGGGCAGACUAGAGUGCGGUAGGGGAGAUUGGAAUUCCUGGUGUAGCGGUGGAAUGCGCAGAUA